ACACAAAAAUCAUUCUUUUUCAUUAGUUCACAGAAAUAACUGGCUUGUGCAGCCAAGCGUUCAUAGCGACGUUGCUUUUUGAUCCUUCGAUGUCGGCUCUUCCUGUCAUACUGGAGCAGAAUUCAGUACGCGCCUCUAAGUCAGAAUCCGUGCUAGAACGCGACGAUUACCGCCUUUUCCGAUAAUUAGUUGAAUACGAAUAGAGCUUCGGCUCCUGAAUCAUGCUACGUGGGUUAUCUUGUGGAGCGGAAAGGCUUCAUGAGGUUCCUGCUAAUGUUAAUUUCAAAUAUUGGAAGAGAUAAAUCCAUUGCAGACGACUUUUAAGCAACGGUGUACUGUAAGCUGUAGAGUAGCCUUGUUGCUACGAUCCGCUGAGAUUAAGCCAUUUGUUGAAGAUUU
rnacentral:ncRNA from 1 species